GGUUCUCUUCUCCGCCCCCUCUUGAUGACUUGCUCUGCAUCCAGCUGGGUCAAUUAGCGAGUAUCCUUAACAGUUUAAGAGCCAUCUGGAGCCUAUGUCGCACUCACUCACUGCUUACCAACAUGGAAAAAGUGGUUCUUCUUAAAGAUAUGAGCAGUUUUGACUGUUUGUCACCAUCGGAACUUGAUAGGAAGUUCUUUGGGGAGCAGAGUUUUCCAUCUACUUUGUCGCUGGACCAACUGUCAAGAUCAAGAGUUUCGUCUGAUUGUUUCGUUGACGGAUCUGAUGUCAAACCAUUGAUCCAGCCUUCUCUCAGCAUGUCAACUGCUCCAAGAUCUUUGUCUCAGGUCAAUGACUUGAACACCCAAGAGACUGAAAAUUGUCACCCAUUAUUGCCAUUACAGGUCAACUCGUCCACUCCCUACAUCCCCAUGCAAAAGAAAGCUCAUUUGGAACAGUCAUACAGUGACCUCGCAGUCUCUCGAAUGUCUUUGGAUGUGUCUGUGAUUAAACCGGACGGCAACAGCCCAAAACCCUUCAUGGAGUUGAGCACCCUAGAGCUGUGGAGCCCAAAACUGCAAUCUGGGCCACAUUCGAGGUCUGAAGUUUCUCCCUGACCCGAUCAACUCUUCAUAUAUAUAUACUUACAAUUGGGGGGGGGGGGAAAUGUUUUUAAACAAGUGGUAAUAAAUCUAUUUGCUCAACUUAAA